GACGAGGGGUCCAAGCGUUGUUCGGAAUCAUUGGGCGUAAAGCGGGUGUAGGUGGCUUUUGUAAGUCAGAAGUGAAAUCCCCCGGGCUUAACCCCGGGAAGUGCUUUUUGAAAACUGCAAAGCUUGAAUGUGGGAGAGGAUCGUGGAAUUCCAGGUGUAGUGGUGAAAAUACGUAGAUAUCUGGAGGAACACUGGUGGCGAAGGCGGCGAUCUGGCCCAACAUUGACACUGAGACCCGAAAGCGUGGG
rnacentral:rRNA from 1 species